rnacentral:rRNA from 1 species
CAACCCUUGUCCUUAGUUGCCACCAUUCAGUUGGGCACUCUAAGGAGACUGCCGGUGUUAAACCGGAGGAAGGUGGGGAUGACGUCAAGUCCUCAUGGCCCUUAUAUCCAGGGCUACACACGUGCUACAAUGGCCGGUACAAAGGGUCGCAAUACCGCAAGGUGGAGCUAAUCCCAAAAAGCCGGUCUCAGUUCGGAUUGGAGUCUGCAACUCGACUCCAUGAAGUCGGAAUCGCUAGUAAUCGCGUAUCAGCAUGACGCGGUGAAUACGUUCCCGGGCCUU